CUGUGUCUCAAUUCAGGGUCUGCAUCCUACCUCGGCCGGAUUCGUCGGCCGGUUACGUCACAGCGCCGCGACUCGGCCUGUCCCAAUUCGAAGACUCCUUCAAAUGCGGUCGACGAAUGCGGCCUUCUUUUCGCCUGAAUGAAGGAUGGGUCGGGUGUAUCCUUCAAUAGGUAGCAUUUCCCAAGAUGCCUUGCGGGCCGGCCGACAGAAAAACUUAAAAACAAUGGCGGACAGUGAAGCGGGAGCUGUCGGAGAGGAUUGCGCAUAUAAAUGACCAAAAGAGAAAACCAGGGAAUUUAUUAAGCUUAGGGCGGAGAUGGACCACAUGAUCACCGGAGCAAAGUAUUCGGCGGCUGUGGCAUGGAGGUACAAUAACAUCUCAUAUUUUAAAAACUCGUUUGAGUUUAUUUUUUCUGCGAAAACAUGAAAGGAAUAACCCGUUGUCCUCUUUUCUCUUCCUGUUUCUUUUCUUACAUGUUUGUUAAGACUAUUCUGGAGAAAAUGGGCAUCCAGGGGAAGGUGCCAGCGAUGACCAGCAUCUGGAGCUGAUCUGGGAGGAAUUCAGGCUGCAGAGGGAGGCAGAGCAGCAGAGAGCACAGGAGAGAAGGAAGAACUUUGACAGCUUUUUACUUUGCUAGAAAAAAUGGUUAAGGAAGAUUAAACAUGUACAUGUAAAAGAAAUAUCUAAAUAAAAUCAGUUCUGCAUUAAACUCUUGAAUUUUAUUUUUGUUUACAAAUGAGAAUUGUUUACUAGAGGGUAUCCGCUGGGUCUUGAAAAGUCUUAAAAGGUGAUAAAUCGGUUUUGGUCAAAUUAAGACCCUUAGAAAGUAUUAAAAACUAUUAUCACAUCUUUGCUCAUGCUCAGCUUGUCUAAAGUAUUUUCUCUGAAUUAGCUCUCCAACAGUCAAGGAAAUGAUUAACCCCCAGAGACCCACGGUUGUAAUAUUACAACAUCAGAUUUAA